AUGACUAAUAAUAAUAUUAAUUUGUAUUCCAACAACAAAGAAGCAUAUCCGAAUAGAAGAAUAUCACGAUCGCAAAUGGUUAGCACUAUCCAUCAGAGACUAGGAGAAUUUUGAAGAUUUAAAAUUAGUCGACAUGAUGUGGACCGUCCGAACUCAGGAACUCUGUGUUUAGAGUGGGAUUGAGGAUAACGUUACUCUUAGUGAGGAACUCCUACAGCCCUUUUAUUAUCAAAAGGUUCAAGCUUUAAACCCUGAAGAUCCAGUGGCUCGACUUAAUUUUUGUAGGACCAUUAGAAAUCUUUAUAAUCGUAAUCAAAAUUUCACAGGUUUUAUUCUCUUCAUCGAUGGAGCUGGCUUUGGACAUGAUAGUUUAAUAAACCUUCAUAAUGAACAUUAUCGGUGCGACGAAAACCCUCAGGUAGUUAUAAAAAAAUCCCCCAAUGUGUGGGUUGGUAUUGUCAACGAUCGUUUAGGGCCACAUUUUUCCCGCAAAGAGUAAAUGGUAAGGUCUUAACUUAAACUUUUUAAGAAAUGAGUUGCCCAAUCUACAAGAUGAUGUUCCUUUUCAAAUAAAGCAUGAAAUAUGGCUGCUACAAGACGGUGCUCCAGUCCAUUUCAAUGGAGGGAAACAUUUAUAUCAAAAUUUCCCUGAAACAGAGAUUGGACGCGGUUACCUAAAAUCUGUCGUUUACAAGGUUCCUGUAAGUAAUUGUGAAAUGCUGAAACAACGGAUUAUUGACAAUUGUGAAAUAAUUAAACAGAAGGAAGGUAUAUUCUCUAGGAUUCGUUGGAACUUCCGA